rnacentral:rRNA from 1 species
UCCGUAGGCGGUGCGGCAAGUCGGAAGUGAAAUCUCAGGGCUUAACCCUGAGGCUGCUUCCGAAACUGCCGUGCUCGAGUGCGAGAGAGGCGAGUGGAAUUGCAGGUGUAGCGGUGAAAUGCGUAGAUAUCUGCAGGAACAUCCGAGGCGAAAGCGGCUCGCUGGAUCGCAACUGACGCUGAGGGACGAAAGCUAGGGGGAGCAAACAGGAUUAGAUACCCUGGUAGUCCUAGCCCUAAACGAUCAGGACUGGGCGUGGGCCUCGUACGGGGCUCGUGCCGCAGCUAACGCGUUAAGUCCUGCGCCUGGGGAGUACGGUCGCAGGCUGAA